GCCCGCUUGGCCAAGCGGUAAGGCGCAUCACUCGUACCACGUGACGCGGAAUGAUGAGAUCAGUUGUUCGAAUCAGCUAGUGGGCA